UACGAAGGGGGCUAGCGUUGUUCGGAAUUACUGGGCGUAAAGCGCGCGUAGGCGGUUUUGCAAGCCAGAGGUGAAAUGCCUGAGCUCAACUCAGGAAUGGCCUUUGGGACUGCGAGGCUUUGAGGACUGGAGAGGUGAGUGGAAUUCCCAGUGUAGAGGUGAAAUUCGUAGAUAUUGGGAAGAACACCAGUGGCGAAGGCGGCUAUCUGGCCCGUAAUUGACGCUGAGGCGCGAAAGCGUGGGGAGCAAACAGG
rnacentral:rRNA from 1 species